rnacentral:tRNA from 1 species
GGGCUCGUGGUCUAGUGGCUAUGAGGAAAACUAGCAAACACUGCUCUCACUCAGCAGAGAUCGGGAGUUCGAAUCUCCUCGGGCCCA